rnacentral:rRNA from 1 species
GACGUAGGGGGCAAGCGUUUAUUCGGAAUCAUUGGGCGUAAAGCGCUCGUAGGCGGGAAGGCAAGUCCGUGUUGAAAGACCUCGGCUCAACUGAGGGACCGGCUCGGAUACUGCUUUUCUUGAGGCAAUCAGAGGGUAAUGGAAUUCCCGGUGUAGCGGUGAAAUGACGUAGAUAUCGGGAGGAACACCAGUGGCGAAGGCGGUUACCUGGGGUUGUUCUGACGCUGAGGAGCGAAAGCUAGGGGAGCAAACGGG